rnacentral:rRNA from 1 species
CAAUAGCAUAUAUUAACGUUGUUGCAGUUGAAAAGCUCGUAGUUGAACUUUUGGUAGGAGCGACCUGGCCUUGGGCGCAUGCCCUUGUUUGCCGUGUGUCGUAUUUGGCCAUCCUUUUCCGUUUCGGCGGGAAUCUUUUACUGUGAGUAAACUGGAGUGCUCAAAACAAGACGUUUGUUUGGUACAUUAAAGCAUGGAAUAAUAAGAUAGGACCUGGUUACUAUUUUGUUGGUUUGCAUAGCUAGGUAAUGAUUAACAGGGACAGUUGGGGGUAUUCGUAUUUAAUUGUCAGAGGUGAAAUUCUUGGAUUUAUGAAAGACGAACGACUGCGAAAGCAUUUACCAAGGAUGUUUUCAUUAA